GAGGGUAUAGCUCAGUGGUAGAGUGCCCUAGCAUGCACGAGGGUCCUGGGUUCAAUCCCCAGUACCUCCA
rnacentral:tRNA from 1 species